UACGGGGGGAGCAAGCGUUGUUCGGAAUCACUGGGCGUAAAGGGAGUCUAGGCGGUUUGGUAAGUGGGAUGUGAAAUCCCCGGGCUCACCCCGGGACCUGCAUCCCAAACUGCUGAGCUUGAGUACAGGAGAGGGUGGGGGAAUUCCAGGUGUAGCGGUGAAAUGCGUAGAUAUCCGGAGGAACACCGGUGGCGAAGGCGGCUUCCUGGACCGACACUGACGCUGAGGCGCGAAAGCUAGGGGAGCAAACGGG
rnacentral:rRNA from 1 species